AUUGAACGCUGGCGGCAGGCCUAACACAUGCAAGUCGAACGAGUGGCGGACGGGAGAGUAAUGUCUGUGACUCUGCCUGAUGGAUGGGGUUAACUACUGGAAACGGUAGCCAAUACCGCAUACCAGCGGAUUUGCCCUGGUGGGAUUAGCUAGUAGGUGGGGUAAAGGCUCACGUAGGCGACGAUCCCUAGCUGGUCUGAGAGGAUGACCGGCCACACUGGAACUGAGACACGGUCCAGACUCCUACGGGAGGCAGCAGUGGGGAAUAUUGCACAAUGGGCGCAAGCCUGAUGCAGCCAUGCCGCGUGUGUGAAGAAGGCCUUCGGGUUGUAAAGUACUUUCAGCUGGGAGGCGUUACCCACAGAAGAAGCACCGGCUAACUCCGUGCCAGCAGCCGCGGUAAUUC
rnacentral:rRNA from 1 species